ACGAACGCUGGCGGCGUGCCUAAUACAUGCAAGUAGAACGCUGAAGGAGGAGCUUGCUUCUCUGGAUGAGUUGCGAACGGGUGAGUAACGCGUAGGUAACCUGCCUGGUAGCGGGGGAUAACUAUUGGAAACGAUAGCUAAUACCGCAUAAGAGUAGAUGUCGCAUGACAUUUGCUUAAAAGGUGCAAUUGCAUCACUACCAGAUGGACCUGCGUUGUAUUAGCUAGUUGGUGAGGUAACGGCUCACCAAGGCAACGAUACAUAGCCGACCUGAGAGGGUGAUCGGCCACACUGGGACUGAGACACGGCCCAGACUCCUACGGGAGGCAGCAGUAGGGAAUCUUCGGCAAUGGACGGAAGUCUGACCGAGCAACGCCGCGUGAGUGAAGAUGGUUUUCGGAUCGUAAAGCUCUGUUGUAAGAGAAGAACGAGUGUGAGAGUGGAAAGUUCACACUGUGACGGUAUCUUACCAGAAAGGGACGGCUAACUACGUG
rnacentral:rRNA from 1 species